UAUUAUUCUCUCGCCGUGUGC
rnacentral:piRNA from 1 species